AGAGCGAACGCUGGCGGCAGGCCUAACACAUGCAAGUCGAACGGACCCUUCGGGGUUAGUGGCGGACGGGUGAGUAACACGUGGGAACGUGCCUUUUGGUUCGGAAUAGCUCCUGGAAACGGGUGGUAAUGCCGAAUGUGCCCUUCGGGGGAAAGAUUUAUCGCCAUUAGAGCGGCCCGCGUCUGAUUAGCUAGUUGGUGAGGUAAAGGCUCACCAAGGCUACGAUCAGUAGCUGGUCUGAGAGGAUGACCAGCCACAUUGGGACUGAGACACGGCCCAAACUCCUACGGGAGGCAGCAGUGGGGAAUCUUGCGCAAUGGGCGAAAGCCUGACGCAGCCAUGCCGCGUGAAUGAUGAAGGUCUUAGGAUUGUAAAAUUCUUUCGACCGGGACGAUAAUGACGGUACCCGGAGAAGAACGCCCGGACUAACUUCGUGCCAGCAGCCGC
rnacentral:rRNA from 1 species